rnacentral:rRNA from 1 species
GCUACGGGUGGCAGCAGUGAGGAAUAUUGGUCAAUGGGCGCGAGCCUGAACCAGCCAAGUAGCGUGAAGGAUGACUGCCCUACGGGUUGUAAACUUCUUUUAUAAAGGAAUAAAGUGAGGCACGUGUGCCUUUUUGUAUGUACGUUAUGAAUAAGGAUCGGCUAACUCCGUGCCAGCAGACGCGGUAAUACGGAGGAUCCGAGCGUUAUCCGGAUUUAGUGGGUUUAAAGGGAGCGUAGAUGGGUUGUUAAGUCAGUUGUGAAAGUUUGCGGCUCAACCGUAAAAUUGCAAUUGUUACUGGCAGUCUUGAUUACAGUUGAGGUAGGCGGAAUUCGUGUUGUAGCGGUGAAAUGCUUAGAUAUCACGAAGAACUCCUAUUGCGACGGCAGCUUACUAAACUGCCACUGCCAUUGAUGCUCGAAAGUGUGGGUAUCAAACAGGAUUAGAUACCCGAGUAGUC